UGUAUCCGAAGUCACAGUAAACGGAGGGGCUGGGCCUACAGGCCAUCUCCUAACUCUGAGUUGAGUUCUCCCGAAGCACUGUACCAGAGAUCCUCCCACCCCCAGCCAGCCCCCUGCCUGUCCUCCAAGCAUCGCUGCAUGUCCUGGAGCAGCUGCUGCUGUGGAUAUAGCCCAGGUGUGCUCUGCGUGGUCCAAGCAGGUCAACCUCACCAAAUGAAACGGCAGCCCAUCACUACUGCCUCAGGAAGGCAGAGGGCACUGGCCUUCCAGUUCCAGGAGGACAAGCAUGUUAAGUGGCCGCAGGAGCCUCAUCCAGUGCCCAGCACUCAACAGGUGCUCACGGAAAUAUUUUUUGGAUUGAAACCUGUUUGGUUUGUCCCUGUCUCCCUGUGGCUCUGCCGUCCUGGGCUGUGAGAGGAGAAUUGAGUCUCAGGCCUGAAGAAACUGGACUAAAGAAUGCCUUACAGAAAGUUCAUCUAAGUCAGAAAUGCAAAGAAUAACUUCAAAGGACUGUUAAAAUUCAAGUAACGGGGGAGGAAAUCUGUGUUCACGAAGGCACCUGUGAGAGGAGGCACGGCCUGGCAGGUGAAUGACAGCGGCAUGUGUGGGUGGCCACGGCGGGCGUUGGGUUGGGGACAGGCUCUGCAGCAUCCCGGGACUGCAGUUCUCUGCCUUCUUCAGCUGCUUCUGCUCCAUCAGCUGCUUCAUAACUUGAGCAGGAGGCUUGGGUUUCCAUGUGAGCUGCUGGCUGGAGUGUCCCCUGGCGGGGCUGGGAGCCUGGCUGUAAUCACCCCGAUUAGCAGUUGGCAGCUCCCCAGUCCAGUUUUUUACCUGGACUGACUCAGCCCUGACAGCUGCCGGACCUGCUGUGUUGCUCACACAUGAGUGGAAGCUGCAUCCACUAAGCGGUUUAUUCUCCUCCUUGCCCCCUGUGGGGGGCCCUUGGCACCAGCUGGCACAGCUGACUCUCUCGCACCAUGAGGCCUGGGAAGACCAGCUCCAAGAACCAGUGCUCCUAGCCAUGGCAGCUUUGCUCCCGGGCACUCAGCAAAGUGCAAAGCUGUGGGGAAGAACUCUGAACAUGGCCUCAGGAAGGAAUCCAGCCCUGAAAACAGUCACUGGUGGCCCAUGCUGGCAUCUAUAGCACAGGGGGCAAGGCUGGAAUGUUCGCCAUGCAUCUGAUAACCAAGAUGGUGCCCUGUAUCCUGAGGCCAGAGCGACUGCGGGCACGGUUCACAAAGAGCCUGGGUGCAGAACCUCAGUCUGCCAGCUCCUUGCCUUUCGGCUCGCCAGGGCCUCCUCGCUCUGAGCACACCCUCUCUGCAGACCAUCCUGUUCUAACAAGCCCUGGCUGAGUCCGUGGGUUCUGUGGAAGAGAGCUAGCUGUCGGUCAGAGCCUGGAAGGAGGGAAGUGGCACCUCACUAGCAUUUAUCACAGUUUUUUUUUUCCUUCUCUUUUUAAAAAUAAAACCAGACUCUCUUCUGAAAAUAAAAAACU